rnacentral:rRNA from 1 species
GUGGGGAAUAUUGGACAAUGGGCGCAAGCCUGAUCCAGCAAUGCCGCGUGGGUGAAGACGGCCUGCGGGUUGUAAAGCCCUUUAGGCGGGGAGGAACGACCAGGUGCCAACACCAUCUGGAAGUGACGUUACCCGCGGAAUAAGCACCGGCUAACUCCGUGCCAGCAGCCGCGGUAAUACGGAGGGUGCGAGCGUUAAUCGGAAUUACUGGGCGUAAAGCGUGCGUAGGCGGAUGGGUCAGUCAGCCGUGAAAGCCCCGGGCUCAACCUGGGAACGGCGGUUGAGACGGCCCGUCUCGAGUGGGCUAGAGGAUCGUGGAAUUCCGGGUGUAGCGGUGAAAUGCGUAGAGAUCCGGAGGAACACCGAUGGCGAAGGCAGCGGUCUGGGGCCACACUGACGCUGAGGCACGAAAGCGUGGGGAGCAAACAGGAUUAGAAACCCCUGUAGUCC